CUGGCGGCGUGCUUAACACAUGCAAGUCGAACGGAGUGGUCCUCCCGAAGACCUGAAGAGCUUGCUCAGAUGGAAUUCAUUUGGAUCACUUAGUGGCGGACGGGUGAGUAACGCGUGGGUAACCUGCCUCACACUGGGGGAUAGCAGUUGGAAACGACUGAUAAUACCGCAUAAGCGCACAGAUAGGCAUCUAUCAGUGUGAAAAACUCCGGUGGUGUGAGAUGGACCCGCGUCUGAUUAGCUAGUUGGUGAGGUAACGGCCCACCAAGGCGACGAUCAGUAGCCGGCCUGAGAGGGUGUACGGCCACAUUGGGACUGAGACACGGCCCAAACUCCUACGGGAGGCAGCAGUGGGGAAUAUUGGACAAUGGGGGCAACCCUGAUCCCAGCGACGCCGCGUGAGCGAAGAAGUAUUUCGGUAUGUAAAGCUCUACCAGCAGGGAAGAUAAUGACGGUACCUGACUAAGAAGCACCGGCUAAAUACGUGCCAGCCGCCGC
rnacentral:rRNA from 1 species